GACGGAGGGGGCAAGCGUUGUCCGGACUCACUGGGCGUAAAGGGUGCGUAGGCGGUCUUGUGCGUCGGCGCUGAAAUCACACGGCUCAACCGUGUGACGCGUGCCGAUACGACGAGACUUGAGGCUCUGAGAGGGUGGCGGAACUCCUGGUGUAGUGGUGAAAUGCGUAGAGAUCAGGAAGAACACCCGUGGCGCAAGCGGCCACCUGGCAGAGUUCUGACGCUGAGGCACGAAAGCGUGGGGAGCGAACCGG
rnacentral:rRNA from 1 species